ACCAAUGUCCUUGUCACAACUAACAAAAAUACAGGCAAGUACUUGGUUGCUGCCUCCCCGUUCAUGGAUUCUCCAAUUGCUGUGGACAACAUGACAGCAACAGCCACUUUGCAGUAUUCAGGAGCACUUGCUAACUCCCCUACAACUCUCACCACCCCACCUCCAAAGAAUGCCACUGCAGUUGCCAACCAAUUUACCAACUCUCUACGCAGCCUUAACUCAAGAAGAUUUCCUGCCAAAGUCCCAUUGAACGUUGAUCACAACCUUUUCUUUACAGUUAGUCUAGGAGUUAACCCAUGUCCAAGUUGCAAAGCUGGUAAUGGCAGCAGGGUUGUUGCUAGUAUUAACAAUGUCACAUUUGUGAUGCCAACCACUGCCCUGCUCCAAGCACAUUUCCUCAACAUCAGCGGUGUGUUCACCACUGAUUUUCCUGCAAAGCCACCGCAUGUUUUCAAUUACACUGGCACUCCACCUACAAAUUUACAGACCAAAAGUGGAACUAAAGUUUAUAGGCUGAGCUACAACUCGACAGUCCAACUUGUUAUGCAAGAUACUGGUAUCAUAUCCCCUGAGAACCAUCCGAUCCAUUUACAUGGAUUCAAUUUCUUUGCUGUCGGUAGGGGAGUAGGGAAUUACAAUCCGAAGACUGAUACUAAGAAGUUUAACCUCGUUGAUCCUGUUGAACGGAACACAAUUGGAGUACCUUCUGGUGGAUGGGUGGCGAUAAGAUUUCGCGCCGAUAAUCCAGGUAAUUGCUGUUUAAUGUUUUCGUUUGGAAGUACAGAGCUUGGCAUUUUCAAGUUUGUUUAAUUUCAUGUUCUCUGAUUUUCUUCUUCGCAUCUCUUGUAGGAGUUUGGUUCAUGCAUUGCCAUCUAGAGGUGCACACUACAUGGGGACUUAAGAUGGCGUUCUUGGUAGACAAUGGCAAAGGCCCUAAGGAGUCUCUUCUACCGCCGCCAAGCGACCUUCCAAAAUGUUGAAGUCAGAUCAAGAACUAUACUAACUCGAGGGAUAGAAGCCAUACUUUAUCAGGAAACUUGGUCCCGGUAGAAACAUUCUAUGCUCGAAGAGAGCAGAGUGUGUAUAUAUAUAAUUUGAGGGUUAAAGAUCCGAUUUGUUUCUUGAGUGAAUUGGAAGAUUUGCUCAAGCGAGUUUGCAUAAAAUUUUGUGAGCGGUAGAGCUGUUUCAAUUCAAAUGUUAUUUUUUCUUGAAUAAAUAUAUAUAUAUUGAAGAUUUGAUCACAAAGCCAUUCAUGAUCAAUAAAACUUGUAUGCUUCUAAAUAUGUUCAUGGGUCGGGUUGGAUAAGACCUAGAUCAGGCCCGAUUAACUUUUCUAAGUUAUAUUGACCCGUAUCUGGCCAGAAUCGAUCCUUGGGCUUUCAAGCCCUUUAAGAAAUAAAAAAUAAAAAAUAAAAGCAAAAUAAUAUGUAGCAAUAGAAAUUAGUUUUUUUUUUUUUGAGACAAGUAUCGAAAUUGUUAAAGAAUAAGGAAGCAAAGUUUUAGCACGGCGAAACAAAUAUUUAUAUAACGCGGCAAUGAUUAGAAAUUCUAGCAAUGAUUGCAUUUCUUAGACCCAAAAGCUGUAUGUUUUUAAAUAUUUUUGAUAUGGUAAAGUAAGAAAUUAUUAUUUUAAUAUAUUUUAAAAUAAAAAAUUUUAAAAAUUAAUUUUUAUCACAAUCUCAAAUAAACAUUAGGUGAAAAGAAAAAAGAAAAGGAACAAUACAAACUGAAGCAUGGAGUUAGAACUUAAUUUUGUAGUUUAUUAAAAUAAAUAAAUUAAUUAUGGUUUUAACUAUAUAUUUACUCUUUUUGUUUUUAAAACCAUUUAUAACUUAAUAUUUUUCAUCCCUUUUAUGUUGUUUUUUCAAUAUAUUUAUUUUUUGUUUUAAAAACAGAAAAAAGAAAAGAAAAAGAAAAAGAUAAAUUAAGAAGAUUGAUAAAAUAGAAGAUACCUUUAUUUUUUUUCCCAAUAUGCUACGGCUAAAACUGGUUAGGAAAAUAGUGUAGCUGCAGAUGCAUUGGCACUGUUCACUAGAACAUUCUAAUGACAUCUUUGUCUUUUCCAUAAAAAAAACUUAUAACUAGUUUCUGGGAACAUGAAAGUCUUUUGACGAUGUGCAUUAGUCAUUCUUAAAUUAAUUAGGGGCAAUUAUGUCUUUUUCAAUUUAAAAAUACAGUGAAAAGACCGAAAUGCCCUUAAAAGCAAAAAAUUCAAUGCUAGCAUCAAGGGACAAUUUGAUACUUUUAAAAUUGUUUUUUUCUAUUAUUAUCAUGUAAGAUGAGGAGCAAUUUUGUAUUUGGAUAAAUAUAUAUAAAAAAUAAAAAACAUAGUGAAACGAUCAAAAUGUCCUUGGAAGUCUAAACAUAAAAAAAAAUGAUCUCAAGGGACUUUUUCCAUAGGUUUUUAUCUCAAAGCCUUCCCAAACUUCGAUUGAUAUUCAAUUUUAACUCUAUAAAAAAUAAGGUCUGUGAAAUCUUUUGGUAAAAUAUCAAUUCGAUCCAACGUUCAAAUUAAAAAUUAUGCUUGUUAGCGUAAAACUGUACAUUAGAAAAAAAAAGCCCAAAAUUACCUCUCAUUACCCAACCCUUUUAUGGACCACAUUAAUCAAGGCUUAGUCACCUUUUCUUGAAAAUUUAAAACUUGACUUGACCCAAAUAUCUUGAAUAAGCCCAUCGAAUAACUCUUCAAUCUUUUUGGUCGAAUGAUACAAGGUCAAAAUCUUUGGCUUCUCCUUCCUCAUUCUCAUCAACCAUCUCAUCAAUGAUCCUACACCUCACCAAACAUCACAUUCAUCCUCUCAAAUUGUUGUUCUAUAACCAGCAAUUUAAGAUGUCCUCCUUCUUCUUUUCAGAGGAUGCCCCGUCUUUGGAAGACAUUAUCAAAUUUAAAAUUUUACGUUAGUAAUAAAAAACAAUUAUCAUCACUCACUCCCUUAUGUGUUUACACUCUAUAAUCAACGGGUUGUAGUUGUUCAUCCAAUAGCUUCGAUUCUUUGGUUCAAGGUAAACACUAGAUCGAGUUUUUAUCUUCAAUUCGAUUUUAUCUUUUUUGGGUUGUAUUUUUUCUUGUUUAUGAGUUCACAUCACAAGAAACUAUUUUAUAAUAAACCUAAACCUAGGUUCGAGCCACAUCGUGUCGACACGUGCUUGCGUAUGGGUUUAAGUUCAAAACCCACUUUGCUUAUGUCAUUUUCCCUCUAAAAAAUUGGGUUCCUUUUGGUCUCAAUAUUAACUCUUCGCCUUCUCAUUAAAUAAGUCACAAGAAAAACUUAUUUCUUUCCAACACGGAUAGAGUUUUUAAAGGGUUUGGGUUUCACUAAAACAUGUCAAUCAAAGGUUCUUUGAGAAUAAUUUUUUAUUCAUCCAUAAUUUAAUUAAAUCAUAUUAGUGUUCUAUGUUAAAGAGCUUAUAUUGGAUAUUAAAUUCCAACAAAGUUUUAACCCCAAAAAUGAAUGGAUCCACUUUUAAUUUGGCCUCAAAUAUUUCCAUUAACCAUGUUCCAAGACAAAAUUUGCAACAAAAUGUCCCAUUAACAAAGCAGAAUGUUUUUGUUACAAUACUAAUGUCAGUAAAAAUGAGUAGAGAAUGUUGAUGAAUUUAGAUAUAACUAGUUUAUUUUCUACACUAUCAUUGUGGGUUGGAUGAAAUUUUUUUGGAACAUAAGAAAAUAAUAUAUAAACCAUAUGAAACUUUUCGGCAUUGUCAUUAAAUUAGGUGCAACAGUUCAAACUUGACAACUCUUAACAUGACUAUUUGUUUAGCUCAAGUUUUUAAUUAAAUCAUAUGAAAGUUGCUCUUAUGUGACAUUGUUUACUGGGUAGGUGCAAAGAAAAAAAAACACGUUAGGUUCAACCUAAUCAACCCACCAAACUCGUGAUCGAAGUUAUGAGCUUCACUAGGUCAAAUUAAUUUUUUUUAUUUUAUUAUAUAAUAAAAAUAUAAAUUUUUAUUUACCAUCAACACAAUACUAAAAAAUAAAAUUAAAAAGAAAAACUUCACAUUAAAAGAUAAUAUUGAAAGAAAAAAAUAAAAUAUGUAAAAAAUACUCUAAUGGUGUGCUAUGAUAAAGCCAAACACGCGGGCACGUGGGCUUGGGGAAGGCCUGCAGCUUGGGCUGUGCACAUCUUUUUUAUUUGCAAAAAAGAAGAAAAGCAACCUCUCAUCUAUCUUUUGAAAGAAUAUACUGCUAUCUGUAGCUAGGAAUCAAACCCACAACCUCCACACCUACCUCCUUGCUUACCACCACUUGAACUAUGACAAGAACUUAACCAAGCUAUUAAAAUAUAUCAACUUGAUUUUAAUAACUAAGCCAAAUCCAGCCAUUUAGUUGUUCCUUUUUACUAUUAGAUUUGAAAUCAAUGGUUUUAACAAACCAGCAUUUUAGACAUUCCCAAAACAGACGGAUGCGCAAAAGCAUUGAAUUGAAUUGAAAAUAUUGAUCGGAUCAUGCAUGGAUUUUCAUAUAAAAAAAACACAUCACCGUGGAAAGGACCUGGUGAGCACUCAUCAUUAGAAUUCAGAGCCGCAAGUAAUCCUGGGACAUCCUUUACAAGGACUACAAGUAAUGCCUUGAAAAAGAGAGUUCGGCCUACCAAACUUAACCCGUAUUGUUCUUAAAUCUACGAAGAGCACCAGGUCCUAAAAAAGAGUAGCAAAAUAAAAUAAAUUCUAAGGCAACUAAUUGAAAAUGGUGAUUAAUUAAGGUGACUUGUCCGUUGCUGAUCAAUUGACCACAUGUUCUUUUACUCUAUUUUUAUAUUGUUGUGAACCUACUUGAGUAAAUAGCAGGACAAGAGAAUGUUUUCAGGAUAAAUAUGUAGGAAGUGGGUGCCAAAUUUAAUCAUUUAAUUUACAGAUUUCCUAUGCCACCAAAUUAUCAAACUUCCAUGCAAGGUUCCUAAUUAAUAAAUGCAAAAAUUAGAAAACACAUGGUCUGCUUCCCAAACUAUGUUGAUCCAUGAACAAGACGACUUUAUGUAGCAUGUAAGAAACCUAGUAAGAUUAGGCUUCUAAUCCUUGUUUUCCAAGAAUGAACUCACCCACCUAACCUAACUGUGAAAAACGACAUGGCAGCAAUUCCCAUAUUCCCUUUAUAAGGUUGAGGUAGCCAGUCACGGAUGAAGACAACAAGCUUGAAAGCAAGAAGGAAACCAACAGCAACAGAGAGAUUGCCAAAGAAAGGUCUCGAAGUCAGCAAAUAUGGAGUACUCCAAUUUGCUCAUCCGUUUUAUGCUUCUUGCUGUCUGCCUCCUCCCCGCUUUGGUCGAGUGCAGGAUUCGGCAUUACAAGUUCAAUGUAAGUUAAAUGCUGUAGCAAGCUUCCAUGUGACGAAAGCCUGAACUGCUUGCGCUUUAGGUCAUUAGUCUCAUUCAUGUGACGAAAAUCUUCUUUGAAAUGCAUUUCGUUAUUAGAAGAUAGCCAUGUUUUGCACGAUGCAUUGCGCAUCAUGACACUGCCUUGGCUUAAAAUCAUGCAACUUUACCCAUAUCUUUUUCCUGACUAGUCCAUGAUUCAAAUGGAAAUCAUAGAGUUUCCACCUACCUAUAGCCACUAUUUUAAAUACCAGAAAAGUUUAUUCUCAUGCUUACUUUAUGGUUAAAUAAUUGCAGCAGAAAGCUCUCACUAUAUAUAUAUAUAUAUAUAUAUAUAUAUAUAUAUAUAUAUAUAUGUUCAAGAAACCAUUAAAAAAAUAUUAAAUAGGAAAAGGGUGGUAAGAUCUCAAAGCACUGUAGUGACAUAAUUUGUCACAACAAAUUAAACAAUAUGGACAGUUUAGCAUUUGAUGUAGAAAUGAGCUUAAAUAUUUCACCUAUCAUUUCAACAGGUGGUGAUGAAAAAUACUACCAGACUAUGCUCUAGGAAGCCGAUUGUUACCGUCAAUGGCCGCUUCCCAGGACCCACUCUGUAUGCCAGAGAACACGAUACAGUUCUUGUAAAAGUUGUUAACCAUGUCAAAUAUAAUGUUUCUAUUCACUGGUAAGCUAACGAAACAAACCCUGUAUAACAGUUAUACUUCAAUUCAUCAUGAAUGAUACCGAUGCGGAUUUUUCUUGGUAUUCUGCAGGCAUGGCAUUAGGCAACUAAGAACGGGCUGGGCUGAUGGACCAGCAUACAUUACACAAUGCCCCAUUCAGCCAGGGCAAAGCUAUGUCUACAAUUUCACAAUCACUGGUCAGAGGGGCACACUUCUUUGGCACGCACAUAUUCUCUGGCUAAGGGCCACAGUUCAUGGUGCCCUGGUUGUCUUGCCUAAACGCGGCAUCCCCUACCCAUUCCCAGCUCCUCAUAAAGAAGUGCUUGUUGUAUUAGGUGAGCAGGAUACAUAAUAGCUAUUUCUUUCACUAAAACUUUUGAAAUUCUGUGCAUUCCGCCAUAAUUCAAAUCUUUAAGGUUCAUGGUUAUUAAAUAUGUAACCUGAGACUAAGGUGGUGACGUGAAAUUGCAGCUGAAUGGUGGAAAUCAGAUACUGAAGCUGUGAUCAACGAGGCUCUUAAAUCUGGAUUAGCUCCAAAUGUCUCUGAUGCUCACACAAUUAACGGCCAUCCAGGAGCUGUCUCAGCUUGUUCUUCACAGGGUAUUCAACUAAGAUUAAUGACCAUAAGAUAUACCUGUGAGUUCUGGCUCUCAAUGCUUGCUUUCUAAUAGAGGUCUGAUACAGAAAGAUUUUUGGAUUCAUGCAGGCGGUUUCACAUUGCCAGUCAAAAGUGGCGAGACCUACAUGCUACGGUUGAUCAAUGCUGCACUCAAUGAAGAGCUCUUCUUCAAAAUUGCAGGGCAUAAGCUUACAGUCGUCGAAGUGGAUGCCACCUAUGUUAAACCAUUCAAAACCGAUACAGUCCUAAUUGCCCCAGGCCAGACCACCAAUGUCCUUGUCACAGCUAACAAAAAUACAGGCAAGUACUUGGUUGCUGCCUCCCCGUUCAUGGAUGCUCCAAUUGCUGUGGACAACAUGACAGCAACAGCCACUUUGCAGUAUUCAGGAGCACUUGCUAACUCCCCUACAACUCUCACCACCCCACCUCCAAAGAAUGCCACUGCAGUUGCCAACCAAUUUACCAACUCUCUACGCAGCCUUAACUCAAGAAGAUUUCCUGCCAAAGUCCCAUUGAACGUUGAUCACAACCUUUUCUUUACAGUUGGUCUAGGAGUUAACCCAUGUCCAAGUUGCAAAGCUGGUAAUGGCAGCAGGGUUGUUGCUAGUAUUAACAAUGUCACAUUUGUGAUGCCAACCACUGCCCUGCUCCAAGCACAUUUCCUCAACAUCAGCGGUGUGUUCACCACUGAUUUUCCUGCAAAGCCACCGCAUGUUUUCAAUUACACUGGCACUCCACCUACAAAUUUACAGACCAAAAGUGGAACUAAAGUUUAUAGGCUGAGCUACAACUCGACAGUCCAACUUGUUAUGCAAGAUACUGGGAUCAUAUCCCCUGAGAACCAUCCGAUCCAUUUACAUGGAUUCAAUUUCUUUGCUGUCGGUAGGGGAGUAGGGAAUUACAAUCCGAAGACUGAUACUAAGAAAUUUAACCUCGUUGAUCCUGUUGAACGGAACACAAUUGGAGUACCUUCUGGUGGAUGGGUGGCGAUAAGAUUUCGCGCCGAUAAUCCAGGUAAUUGCUGUUUAAUGUUUUCGUUUGGAAGUACAGAGCUUGGCAUUUUCAAGUUUGUUUAAUUUCAUGUUCUCUGAUUUUCUUCUUCGCAUCUCUUGUAGGAGUUUGGUUCAUGCAUUGCCAUCUAGAGGUGCACACUACAUGGGGACUUAAGAUGGCGUUCUUGGUAGACAAUGGCAAAGGCCCUAAGGAGUCUCUUCUACCGCCGCCAAGCGACCUUCCAAAAUGUUGAAGUCAGAUCAAGAACUAUACUAACUCGAGGGAUAGAAGCCAUACUUUAUCAGGAAACUUGGUCCCGGUAGAAACAUUCUAUGAUCGAAGAGAGCAGAGUGUGUAUAUAUAUAAUUUGAGGGUUUAAGAUCCGAUUUGUUUCUUGAGUGAAUUGGAAGAUUUGCUCAAGCGAGUUUUAAUAAAAUUUUGUGAGCGGUAGAGCUGUUUCAAUUCAAAUGUUAUUUUUUCUUGAAUAAAUAUAUCUAUUGAAGAUUUGAUCACGAAGCCAUUCAUGAUCAAUAAAACUUGUAUGUUCUAUAUAUGUUCAUGUGUCGGGUCGGAUUAGACCUAGAUCAGGCCCGAUUAAUUUUUCUAAGCUAUAUUGACCCGAGUCUAGUCAGAAUCGAUACUUGGGCUUUCAAGCCCUUCAAGAAAUUAAAAAAUGAAAGCAAAUAAUAAAUGCUAGAGUUCGAUUAGAACUAGUCUUUUCAUUUUUCAACAAGUAUCAAAAUUGUUAACGACCAAGGAAGCAAAGUUUUAGCACCGUGAAACAAAUAUUUAUAUAUAUAUCACGGCAAUGAUUAGAAAUUCUAGCAAUGAUUGCAUUUCUUAGACCCAAAAGCUGUAUGUUUUUAAAUAUUUUUUAUAGGGUAAUGUUAAAAAUUAUUAUUUUGAUAUAUUUUAAAAUAAAAAAUAAUUUUAAAAAUAAUUUUUAUCAUAUUCUUAAAUAAAUAUUAGGUGAAAAGAGAAAGAAAGGGAAAAAUAUAAACUGAAGCAUGGAGUGACUAGUAACUUAAUUUUGUAGUUUAUUAAAAUAAAUUAAUUAAUUAUAGUUGUAACUAUAUAUUUACUCUCUUUGUUUUUAAAACCAUUUAUAACUUAAUAUUUUUCAUCUAUUAUAUGUUGUUCUUCUAAUUUAUUUAUUUUUUGUUUUAAAAACAAAAAAAAAAGAAAAAGAUAAAAUAAGAAGAUUGAUAAAAUAAAAGAUACCUUCAUUUUUUUUUCAAAUAUGCUAUAGCUAAAAUUGGUUAGGAAAAUAGUGUAGCUGCAGAUAUAUUGACACUGUUCACUAGAACAUUCUAAUGAAGUGAACGUUCUAAUGACGUCUUUGUCUUUUCCAUCAAAAAACUUAUAACUAGUUACUUGGGACAUCAAAGUCUUUUGAUGAGGCACAUUAGUCAUUUCUAAAUUGACUAGGGGAAAUUAUGUCUUUUCCAAUUUAAAAAAUACAGUGAAAUUUCUAAAAUGCUCUUUUAAAAGCAAAAAUCUCAAUAUUGGCAUCAAAGGACAAUUUGAUACUUUUAAAAUGGUUUUUUUUUGUUAUUAUCAUGUAAGAUGAGAAUCAAAAAUAUAUUGAAACGAUUGAAAUGUCCAUAGAAGUCAAAAAAUAAAAUAAAAAUGAUCUUAAAGGGCUUUUUCCAAAGGUUUUUUCAUUAUUAACAUGUAAAAUCAUGGGUGAUUUGAUAUUUGAAUAAAACAAAAUUCAGGCAUAUGUACGACACCAUGAGGCACGCGGGAGGCGCCAACACACUAUGGAUGACGUGUGUGACGCCUUCCAUUGUCCAAAAAUACCCUUUCAUCAUGUCAUUGGAAGCACUGUCGUGUUUUGUUUCCUGUUGGUAUGAUACAUGUCUUUGGUGGUGAUUCAGUUUGUCGUCGAAAGGACUUUCUAUUCUAUUCUUUUUCCUUCUCUUCUCUCUUCUCCCUUAAAAAAUAUAGUUUGCCCUUUUUGUUCUUGAUGUUUCAACUUCAAUAAUUAUUCUUUUGAUUUUUAAUUUUUGUUCCGGGCUCUUUUAUAGAAAUCUUAUUUGUUUUUAAUUUCAUUCUUCAAUCACAAUUCACUAAAUAUCAUAUUCUUUAAUUUGGUCAUUCUUUUGAUUUAUAAUUUUUGUGUAGCCUUAACAAAUAAGGUGUACCUUGCAAAAAUUGGAGCUCUGUUACCGCCUCUCGUGUGUCCAUGUAAAAUAAAGAAACCACUAACUUUUGAAUCCUAAUGAAACAUGGGAACCUUGCCAAUUAAUAACUCUAAUUAUGUCGCCUCAAAUGUCCUUGUAGAAUAAGGAAGUCACUUUAUAGGAAAUCUAUAAGUUAGAAGGAAAGAUAAUCCUAAACCAACUAGGAAACUAAUGCAAUUCCCGCAUAGUACUUUCUAGUUUUUAUCUCAAGGUCUUUCUAAACUCCGAUUGAUAUUUAAUUUUAACCCUAUAAAAAUAAGAUCUGUGAAAUCUUUUGGUAAAAUAUCAAUUCGAUCCAACAUUCAGAUUGAAAAUUAUGAUUGUUAGGGUAAAACUGUAUAUUAGAAGAAAACAAAUGCCCAAAAUUACCUCUCCUUACCCAACCCUUUCAUGGACCACAUUGAUCAAAGCUUAGUCACCCCUUCUUGAAAUUUUGAAACUUGACUUGACCAAAAUAUCUUAAAUAAGCCCAUCGAAUACCUUUUCAAUCUUCUUGGUCGAAUAAUGCAAGGUCAAAAUCUUUGGCUUCUCCUUCCUCAUUCUCAUCAACCAUCUCAUCGAUGAUCCUACACCUCACCAAACAUCACAUUCAUCCUCUCAAAUUGUUGUUCUAUACCCCUAACAAAAAUAAGAUGUUCUCCUCCUCCUUUUUAGAGGAUGCUCCGUCUUUGGAAGACAUUGUCAAAUUUAAAAUUUUACGUUAGCAAUAAAAAACAAUUAUCAUCAUUUACUCCCUUACGUGUUUACACUCAAUAAUCAACGGGUUAUGGUCGUUCAUCCAUUAGCUUCGAUUCUUUGGUUCAAGGUAUUCACUAUAUCAAGUUUUUAUCUUCAAUUCGAUUUGUCUUUUUGGGUUGUAUUUUUUCUUGUUUAUGAGUUCACAUCACAAGAAACUAUUUUAUAAUAAACUCAAACCUAGGCUCAAGCCACAUCAUGUCAACGCGUACUUGCAUAUUCAAAACCCACUUUACUUAUGUCAUUUUCCCUCUAAAAAAUUAGGUUCCUAUUGGUCUCAAUAUUAACUCUUCACCUUCUCACUAAAUAAGCCACAAGAAAAACUUAUUUCUUUCUAAUGUGGGAUAGAGUUUUUAGAAGGCUUUGGGUUUCACUAAAAUAUAUGAAUCAAUGGUUAUUUGAGAAUAAUUUUUUAUUCAUCCACAAUUUAUUUAAAUCAUAUUAGUAGUAUAUGUUAAAGAGCUUAUGUUGGAGAUUAAAUUCCAACACAGUUUUAACCCCAAAAGUGAAUGGAUCCACUUUUAAUUUGGCAUCAAAUAUUUUCAUUAACCAUGUUCCUAGACAAAAUUUGCAACAAAAUAUCCUCCUAACAAAGCAGAAUGUUUUUGUUACAAUACUAAUGUCAGUAAAAAUGAGUAACGGAUGUUGAUGUAUUUAGAUAUAACUAGUUUAUUUCCUACACUAUCGUUGUGGGUUGUAUGAAAUUUUUUUGGAAUAUAAGAAAACAAUAUAUAAAUUAUAUAAAACUUUUUUGCAUUGUUAUUAAACUAAGUACAAUGGUUCAAACUUGACAACUCUCAACAUGACUAUUUGUUUAGCCCAAGUUUUAAAUUAAAUCAUAUGAAAGUUGCCGUUAUGUGACCUUGUUUAUUGGGUAAGUGCAAAGAAAAACAAGGAGCAUGUCAGGUUAAACAUAAUCAACCCGCCAAAACCGUGACAGAAGUUAUAGGCUCUACUAGGUCAAAUUAUUUUUUAUUUUAUUUUAUUAUAUAAUAAAAAAAUAUAAAAUUUGAUUUACCAUUAACCCAAUAACCCAAUACUACAAAAUAAAAUUAAAGAAAAACCUCACAUUAAAGGAAUAAAAAAUAAAUAAAUAUGACAAAAAAUACUCAAAUGGUGUGUUACGAUAAAGCCAAACACGUGGGCUUGGGGAGGCCCACAGACGUGGCCCGUACACCUUUUUUUUAUUUGAAAAAAAAAAUCAACAUUCUCAUUUUUUAUUUGAAAAAAUAUAUUGCUGUCAGUAGGAAUCGAACCCAACACCUAUCUGCUUACUUACAACCACUUGAAUUAUGAAACGAACUACGAACUUGUUAACUAAGCUGUUAAAAUAUAUCAACUUAAUUUGAAUAAUUAAGUCAAAUCAAGUCAUUUAGUUGUUUCCUUUUUACUAUUAGAUUUGAAAUCAAUGGUUUUAACAAACCAGCAUUUUAGACUUUCCCAAAACAGACGUAUGCGCAAAAACAUUGAAUUGAAUUGAAAAUAUUGAUCUGAUCAUGCAUGGAUUUUCAUAUAAAAAAAACACAUCACCGUGGAAAGGACCUGGUGAGCAUUCAUCAGUAGAAUUCAGAGUCGCAAGUAAUCCUGGGACAUCCUUUACAAGGACUACAAGUAAUGCCUUGAAAAAGAGAGUUCGGCCUACCCAACUUGUAACCCGUAUUGUUCUUACAUCUACGAAGAGCACUACGUCGUAAAAAAGAGUAACAAAAUAAAAUAAACUCUAAGGCAACCAAAUGAAAAUGGUGAUUAAUUAAGGUGACUUGUCUGUUGCUGAUCAAUUGACCUCAUGUUCUUUUACUCUAUUUUUAUAUUGUUGUGAACCUACUUGAGUAAAAAGGACGACAAGAGAAUGUUUUCAGGAUUAAUAUGUAGGAAGUGGGUGCCAAAUUUAAUCAUUUAAUUUACAGAUAUCCUAUGCCAAGAAAUUAUCAAACUUCCAUGCAAGGUUCCUAAUUAAUAAAUGCAAAAAUUAGAAAACACAUGUUCUGCUUCCCAAUCUAUGUUGAUCCAUGAACAAGAAGACUUUAUGUAGCAUGUAAGAAACCUAGUAAGAUUAGGCUUCUAAUCCUUGUUUUCCAAGAAUGAACUCACCCACCUAACCUAACUGUGAAAAACGACAUGGCAGCAAUUCCCAUAUUCCCUUUAUAAGGUUGAGGUAGCCAGUCACGGAUGAAGACAACAAGCUUGAAAGCAAGAAGGAAACCAACAGCAACAGAGAGAUUGCCAAAGAAAGGUCUCGAAGUCAGCAAAUAUGGAGUACUCCAAUUGGCUCAUCCGUUUUAUGCUUCUUGCUGUCUGCCUCCUCCCUGCUUUGGUCGAGUGCAGGAUUCGGCAUUACAAGUUCAAUGUAAGUUAAAUGCUGUAGCAAGCUUCCAUGUGACGAAAGCGUGAACUGCUUGAGCUUUCGGUCAUUAGUCUCAUUCAUGUGACGAAAAUCUUCUUUGAAAUGCAUUUCGUUAUUAGAAGAUAGCCAUGUUUUGCACGAUGCAUUGCACAUCAUGACACUGCCUUGGCUUAAAAUCAUGCAACUUUACCCAUAUCUUUUUCCUGACUAGUCCAUGAUUCAAAUGGAAAUCAUAGAGUUUCCACCUACCUAUAGCCACUAUUUUAAAUACCAGAAAAGUUUAUUCUCAUGCUUACUUUAUGGUUAAAUAAUUGCAGCAGAAAGCUCUCACUAUAUAUAUAUAUAUAUAUAUAUAUAUAUGUUCAAGAAACCAUUAAAAAAAUAUUAAAUAGGAAAAGGGUGGUAAGAUCUCAAAGCACUGUAGUGACAUAAUUUGUCACAACAAAUUAAACAAUAUGGACAGUUUAGCAGUCAUGACCUUUGAAUUAUAUACAUUUGAUGUAGAAAUGAGCUUAAAUAUUUCACCUAUCAUUUCAACAGGUGGUGAUGAAAAAUACUACCAGACUAUGCUCUAGGAAGCCGAUUGUUACCGUCAAUGGCCGCUUCCCAGGACCCACUCUGUAUGCCAGAGAACACGAUACAGUUCUUGUAAAAGUUGUUAACCAUGUCAAAUAUAAUGUUUCUAUUCACUGGUAAGCUAACGAAACAAACCCCGUAUAACAGUUAUACUUCAAUUGAUCAUGAAUGAUACCGAUGCGGAUUUUUCUUGGUAUUCGGCAGGCAUGGCAUUAGGCAACUAAGAACGGGCUGGGCUGAUGGACCAGCAUACAUUACACAAUGCCCCAUUCAGCCAGGGCAAAGCUAUGUCUACAAUUUCACAAUCACUGGUCAGAGGGGCACACUUCUUUGGCACGCACAUAUUCUCUGGCUAAGGGCCACAGUUCAUGGUGCCAUGGUUGUCUUGCCUAAACGCGGCAUCCCCUACCCAUUCCCAGCUCCUCAUAAAGAAGUGGUUGUUGUAUUAGGUGAGCACGAUACAUAAUAGUUAUUUCUUUCACUAAAACUUUUGAAAUUAUGUGCAUUCCGACCAUAAUUCAAUGCUUUAAGGUUCAUGUUUAUUAAAUAUGUAACCUGAGACUAAUGUGGUGACGUGAAAUUGCAGCUGAAUGGUGGAAAUCAGAUACUGAAGCUGUGAUCAACGAGGCUCUUAAAUCUGGAUUAGCUCCAAAUGUCUCUGAUGCUCACACAAUUAACGGCCAUCCAGGAGCUGUCUCAGCUUGUUCUUCACAGGGUAUUCAACUAAGAUUAAUGACCAUAAGAUAUACCUGAGAGUUCUGGCUCUCAAUGCUUGCUUUCUAAUAAAGGUCUGAUACAGAAAGAUUUUUGGAUUCAUGCAGGCGGUUUCACAUUGCCAGUCAAAAGUGGCGAGACCUACAUGCUACGGUUGAUCAAUGCUGCACUCAAUGAAGAGCUCUUCUUCAAAAUUGCAGGGCACAAGCUUACAGUCGUCGAAGUUGAUGCCACCUAUGUUAAACCAUUCAAAACCGAUACAGUCCUAAUUGCCCCAGGCCAGACCACCAAUGUCCUUGUCACAACUAACAAAAAUACAGGCAAGUACUUGGUUGCUGCCUCCCCGUUCAUGGAUGCUCCAAUUGCUGUGGACAACAUGACAGCAACAGCCACUUUGCAGUAUUCAGGAGCACUUGCUAACUCCCCUACAACUCUCACCACCCCACCUCCAAAGAAUGCCACUGCAGUUGCCAACCAAUUUACCAACUCUCUACGCAGCCUUAACUCAAGAAGAUUUCCUGCCAAAGUCCCAUUAAACGUUGAUCACAACCUUUUCUUUACAGUUGGUCUAGGAGUUAACCCAUGUCCAAGUUGCAAAGCUGGUAAUGGCAGCAGGGUUGUUGCUAGUAUUAACAAUGUCACAUUUGUGAUGCCAACCACUGCCCUGCUCCAAGCACAUUUCUUCAACAUCAGCGGUGUGUUCACCACUGAUUUUCCUGCAAAGCCACCGCAUGUUUUCAAUUACACUGGCACUCCACCUACAAAUUUACAGACCAAAAGUGGAACUAAAGUUUAUAGGCUGAGCUACAACUCGACAGUCCAACUUGUCAUGCAAGAUACUGGGAUCAUAUCCCCUGAGAACCAUCCGAUCCAUUUACAUGGAUUCAAUUUCUUUGCUGUCGGUAGGGGAGUAGGGAAUUACAAUCCGAAGACUGAUACUAAGAAAUUUAACCUCGUUGAUCCUGUUGAACGGAACACAAUUGGAGUACCUUCUGGUGGAUGGGUGGCGAUAAGAUUUCGCGCCGAUAAUCCAGGUAAUUGCUGUUUAAUGUUUUCGUUUGGAAGUACAGAGCUUGGCAUUUUCAAGUUUGUUUAAUUUCAUGUUCUCUGAUUUUCUUCUUUGCAUCUCUUGUAGGAGUUUGGUUCAUGCAUUGCCAUCUGGAGGUGCACACUACAUGGGGACUUAAGAUGGCGUUCUUGGUAGACAAUGGCAAAGGCCCUAAGGAGUCUCUUCUACCGCCGCCAAGCGAUCUUCCAAAAUGUUGAAACCAUGUGAAGAAAUUCAAUAGCUGAAAGAUAGAAGCAGUAGUGGAUCAGAAAACUUGGUCAGGGGAGAAAGAUUCAAUGUUAAAAAAGAGAAGAGUAUGUAAAAAAAAAAAACAAUUAAAGUUAAAGAUCCUAUUUUUUUUCUUGAGUAAAUUGAAAGAUUUUCUCAAGCGAGUUUGAAUAAAAAAAGAUUCUCGAAUAUAUAUUGAAAAUUCGGUGGCUAAUUAAGCCUGUUCAAUUGUUUGUAUAUCGUUUGAACUGUUUGUUAGAAUUUGAAAGAACCUUCACAUUUUAUUGAAGUACACUGUCCAAUUGCUGAUAUGAACCACUCCAAUCCUUCUAAUAUUGAUGCAGCAACUGUCUUUCCCUCCCUGGCACUGCACCCUGUAUUUCCCAUUCUCGAUCCCUCUUUGCAGGAAAGAAACAAAUAACAUAAUUGUCCAGAUAUAACAUUUACUCGUACUACAUACCAUCCUCUUUUCGUUUCUUUUUUUUUAUUUGCAGCAUCAAGUCCUGAAAGAGGGUAUGCUUAAUUUUGGAUCCCAUGAUAGCUAGAGAGAUUAGUAGUUCUAAACUGGCUGGAUACUACAUAUGAUAGAAUGUAAAUGUUAAAAUAAGUAAUUGUAUCCUCCACUAAACUUGGUGCACAAAAUGAGUGGGUGGAAUUAUGUAUCAUUUUAUGGGUGAAACUUGGCAGUUAGCUUGCUCCUCGUCCAACGCACAAGCUGUCCGCAAGGUUGGAAGUUUGAGGUGAUCCUGUUGCUUCCUAUUUUUAGGCCAAUAACUAAUCAAACUAGCUUUUUCCUUCGUAUCUUUCCCUCCUUGCACGCCGUUUUGACCGUUUCAUAUAAAAGAAACCUCUCUCUUUCUCUCUGUCGCCCUCUCAAUCUUUAGCAGAUCCUUUAUGUUUUCUCACCCUCUUCCAACAUCCUCCAUUUUUUUUCUCCUUUUUUUCUUAGUUUGAUCAAGUGAAGAGAGAACUAUCAUAGUGUUCAUGGGUAGCAGAACAGAAUCAAAAAAGUGGAUGCUCGAAAACAUUGAAAUUGAUAGGAUGGUGGAAGUUCCUAUCAAUGAUGAACCAAAAAAAGCCUUUCCACCCAGAGGACCUGUUGGCGCAUCUAUCAAGUGGAGUGCAAGUAAUCUUGGGGCAUCCCUCAGAAGGACUACAAGCAGUGCCUUGAGGAAGAAUGGUGUUCUCUCUUCGAAACCUCCUCGCCCCAAGAUGGAAAGGACAGCAUCAUCUGCUGCAAGAGGGCUUAAAAGCCUAAGGUUUCUUGAUAGAACAGUGACAGGAAAGGAAAUGGAUGCAUGGAGAUCAAUCGAAAGGCGCUUUGAUCAAUUUGCAGUUGAUGAAAGGCUCCCAAAGGACAAAUUUGGAAUCUGCAUUGGUAUGCUGUUGAAAUCUUUCGUUGUUGAGCGUGUGCGCAUUAUCCUGUUUUUCAAAAAUAACGAACACAAAUGGAUACUUGAUUCCUUUUUUGCAGGACUAGGAGAUUCAAAAGAGUUUGCUGGAGAAAUAUUUGACGCAAUUGCUAGGCGUAAGAAUAUAUUCACCGCAAAUGGGAUCACAAAAGAUGAGUUGAAAUUGUUUUGGGAAGACAUGACUAAACAAGAUCUUGAUUCUCGACUUGGAAUAUUUUUUGAUAUGUAAGAAAUCCCCCCCUUGAAGUCUAGACAGCUAAAAUAUGGUGCAACAUUAAGCUGACAUAAUGAUGUCCUAGGUGCGACAAGAAUGGCGAUGGGAGGCUAUCGGAGGAGGAAGUGAAGGAGGUGUGUAUGGUUAUAUUGUCCUCGUGCACAAUUAUUCUUUUUUUAUUAUUAUUCUUCCUCCUGAUCAUGAUAUUUCGAUUUCCUGGUUUACGUUAUGCUAAAGAUUAUAGUGUUAAGUGCCUCCGCAAACAAGCUCACAAAUCUUAAACAGUACGCGGCAGUCUAUGCAGCUCUAAUCAUGGAAGAGCUUGAUCCUGAUCAUCUUGGAUAUAUAGGGGUUAGUAUUUAUGCAAAAACUCUGGUUUCAAAUUCUGAGACAAUGUGGCAAUUAGAAACUCUAUUUGUUCUAGUUUUGCAGCUAUGGCAGCUAGAAACUCUACUAAGAGAGAUGGUGAAUAAUGAAGAUCAAAUUACCACGAAGCUCAAUAGAAGCACACAUACUCUCACAAGAGCCAUGAUCCCAAGAAGAUAUCGGACUCCUGUUACCAAAUCAUUGUCGCUGUCAGUAGAAUAUAUUCAUGAGAAUUGGAGGAGAAUAUGGGUUAUGACGUUAUGGUUAGCUGUAAACUUGGCACUUUUUAUUUGGAAGUUUAAGGAAUUCGAGAAAUCACCCCUAUUCAAAAUCUCAAGUUAUUGUGUCUGUCUUGCCAAGGCUUCCGCGGAGACUCUCAAGUUGAAUAUGGCUCUCAUUCUUCUUCCUGUUUGCAGAAGAACACUCACUAAGCUUAGAUCGUCAUUUCUCGGCACCUUUAUCCCUUUUGAUGACAACAUAAACUUUCACAAAAACAUUGCUUUGGCCAUAGUAAUUGCGACUGUAGCUCAUACUCUAGCACAUAUGCUUUGUAAUAUUCCGUUGUUGAGUUCAUGCCCAAAAGACAAAUUCAUGGCAUAUGCUGGACCAUUGUUCAAUUACCAACAGCCAACUUAUUGGUUCUUCAUACGAAGUAGUGUAGGCGUCACCGGAAUUCUGAUUAUCCUUGUAAUGGGGUUCUCAUUUACAUUGGCAACACACUAUUUCCGAAAGAAUGUCGUUAAGUUACCAGGGGCGUUUCACAAAUUGGCAGGGUUUAAUGCUUUCUGGUAUGCGCAUCAGUUGCUGGCCUUGGCAUACCUGCUAUGUUUUUUGCAUGGCUACUUCUUAAUCUUUGAAAAACCUUGGUAUGCCAAAACGGUAUGUGCAAUCCUCAGCUAGCUACUUGUUCAUUAAGCAUAACUUUCUCUGCCAUUUGUGCUCCAACUGUUCUGAAUGCAAUAUUUUCGUGACAACAAAAUUUCUCUUCUGAACAUGGGUUAAUGAGGUUGCUGAAACUAAUUGUGUAAUCUAACUUUUCACAGACAUGGAUGUAUCUCAUUGGCCCAGUAGUAUUCUACGCCACAGAGAGAAUCUCUACAAAAUAUCAGGAACACCAUCACCAGGUUGAUGUCAUUAAGGUCUGUAUUAGUGAGAUUUCUUCUCCUCAAAUCACUUGCUUUCCUGAUCCCUGAUAUUAAUUCAUUAAACUCAUCAUGUACUUUGGGAAUUACAGGCAAUUAUAUAUACAGGGAAUGUUCUUGCUCUAUACAUGAACAAGCCUCCAGGAUUUAAGUACGAAAGUGGAAUGUACCUCUUCAUCAAGAGCCCGGAUUUGUCAAGUUUUGAAUGGUAAUAAACUGAUCUCCAGUACUUCAUUAGAAUGCUUUCCAUGCCAUUUAAUAAAAAAAUCCCAGUUCUUAUUGCUUACAGGCAUCCCUUCUCCAUCACUUCUGCACCAGGAGAUAACAAUUUGAGUGUCCACAUACGAACCGUGGGUGAUUGGACUACGGAACUCAAAAACUUAUUUGCAAAGGUUAUGGCUUAAUUGGUGUUUCACCAUAUCCAUGCAAAUGAAGCUGUUUUAUUGAGAUGAGAAAUACAAAUUAUAUACUUAAAGAAUGUUAUAUUUCGCAGGUCUGUGAGGCCCCACCUGCUGCGAAACAAAAACAAGGCAGGCUAAAUAGAUUGGAAACAAUAGCAAUGUCAAACUCGAAUUAUGAUCAGAUACAAGCAACGUGAGUAAAUUAAGUCUUAACUGAUCUCUUCGACAGUUUUUUAAAACUAGAAAUGUAAUAGCCCCUUUUUUUCUUAUGGCAGAUUCCCAAAGAUCCUGAUCAAAGGACCUUUCGGAGCCCCAGCUCAGAAUUACAAGAAGUUCGACAUCCUAUUGCUCAUAGGUCUAGGAAUCGGAGCAACUCCCUUUAUCAGCAUUUUGAAGGAUCUCCUUAAUGGCAUCAAACCAAGUGCAGCCGAUUCGAUGAAGGUAGGUUAUGCAGAACCAAACAAAUAUCUGUUCCAUAAGAUUGCUUAGACUAAUAAGUUGAAAAUCAUUUCGGCUAACACAUGAUUGCACUCAGGACCGACGAUGUACAGAAAGAGCAUACUUUUACUGGGUCACAAGAGAACAAAGCUCUUUUGAUUGGUUUAAGGGUGUCAUGGACGAUGUUGCAGACUAUGAUGAUAAUGUAUAGGUUUUGAUAGCUGAAAAAGUCAUCCUUUUACAUACUUUUCACCCUCAUCGCUGAUGCUCUAAUCUAACCAGUAAUUUUAUUGACACUUUUGAAUAUAUCAGCAUAUAAUAGAAAUGCACAACUACUUGACUAGUGUGUAUGAAGAAGGAGAUGCAAGGUCUGCACUUAUUGCCAUGGUACAAAAACUGCAGCAUGCAAAGAAUGGACUUGAUGUUGUCUCCCAAAGCCGGGUACAAAUCAGUUUGACAGGCCACUGCAUCAUCGACUAUAUACUAAUAUACUAUGUUUACUUUUGAAUCUUUUUUCCUAACAUGCAAUAGAAUGUGACAGAUAAGAACGCAUUUUGCAAGGCCCAACUGGAGAAAGGUGUUCGCUCAAAUGGCAGAAACGCACAAGUCUUCUCGGAUAGGUGAGGAUACAGCUAUAAUGAAUUUUCAUGUUCGUAAGUUAUGAGAUUGUUUUUUUAUUCGACAAUAAUAGAUGGCUUCGAGUGAUCAGCUUCCACAUCAACCAAAAUUGUAAUUAAGCUCCGUUUUAUACUUAGAUAUCCUUUAUAUAUUUCUUUAUGUUUCGGUUUGCAGGUGUCUUCUACUGUGGAAGCGCUCUGCUUGUCAAAACACUGAGAGAGCUUUGCCAAGAAUUUACUCUAGAUUCAUCAACCCGUUUCCAAUUUCAUAAGGAGAACUUCUGAAUUAGCAAUUCUAUCCUUCUUGCAACAUGGUUUUGCGUCGAGCACUACUGCCCUGAUUCACAGAAGGAAAAUUAGCUCUUGAGAAUGUUUGAACUGCACAAAAAGGGAUGCAGGUAUGGAAUAAAAUAAUAAUAAUAAUAAUCUAUUUUUUUAUAACAUUUUGAGUCCUCUUUAUGCUUCAUAAUGAGCUUUUUUAUGUUUGCAUUACACCAAACAAAUAACGACAGGUGAAAUAAAAAUAUAUAUAUAUUAUUGAAAAGCAUAUAUAAAGCAUAUAAUAACAAAUAAUACUGGACAUUAAUUUACUUAUACCAUAUAUUUUGGCAUGUCGUGUAUUGUUCAAGUAGUUGAAAAAAUAAUCUAUGAAUUAAAAAAUAAAAAUUCUAUAUUUUUUUUAUAGUUAGAUACCACACAAUAUCAAACAUUAUCAUAAUCUGCCCCGGCAACAACGUGGUUAACAGUGCUAGUAUGCUCUCUAGUAAGUGCAGUUGAAUUAUAGCAUGUCAGCACUACCCGACAACACUGCACAUGCUUGUUGGAUUAAUUAUUACUAGUAAUUAAUUAAUUGCUACUUCUAAAUACGGCAAACAAGAACAUUUCUAUUUAUGGAAACCACCAUCGUGAUGAAGUCCCAAUCAUUCCAGCGACACUCCGCUGAACAAAAACCAGGCUGAUUGGAAUGAAAUAUUCACGUAUUUAAAAUUUAUAAAAUUCAGUUUAUUUUAUUUUCUAUAUUAAUUUUAUUAUAUUCAUCUUAUUAAUUUCUUUAUAGAUUUUUAAAAAAUAAAAGCUACAUGGGUAUUUUUGAAAAAUUAGUUUAAUAUUAAAAAAAAUUUCUUUGGAAUUGUAAAUUAAAUGAGUUGAUCUUUGAUUUAUUUUUGUAAUAGUUUUAGAUAUUGAAUGUUGAAAUUCAAUUCUUAACAUUUAAAAUGAUUUUAAAUAUGAGAUUUUAUUAAAAGUUAUAAAUUUAUAUUCAAAUCUAAAGGUUUAAACAUGCUAGCUGUAAGAAAUAAAAAAAUAGAGAGUGAUUGGUGGAAUAAAUAAUAGUUUAGGCUUUAGCUGGAAGAGUAUAUCAAGGAAUUAUUCAUGAGUCGGAAAGGCCUAGAAAACGAGAUAUAUACCCUCAGGGCAUCAGUUGACAGAAAGGAGCUCAAGCCUUGCAGACGAGAAGGCCAAACUUGGAGAGGAAUCAGAUCAUUACCAUCAUUGAUUUCCAAUCAUAUAACUGUCUUGUAGCCGUCUUUAAUUUCCAAUCAUUAGUCGCCAAUUUAAUCAAAAUCGACACUAGUUUUUCCAAUGACGUACUUUCCUCUACAUUUUUCAUUUCAUGGCUUUUUUCUUGGAUUAUUAUUUUGAUUUAGUGAAUUCAAACCUUGAACAAUUUAUUUUUAUGAAUACACUACAUCGAUAUAAAAGAUAUGCUCUCAAAAUUAUCCAGAGAAAAUUAUUUUUAUUGAUGUGCAAGCUAACCUAAGAUUAUCAAUAACUAUAAUUAAACUAAAAAUAAAUAUACUAUUUGUCAUAAUCAUGUAAAGAAUAUUAUAUUUUUUUAUUUGAUAAAUAAAGUAUUCUCAUGCAUGUCAAUCGAGAUAGAGUCGCGAUCUUAAAGGCAUAUUCCUAUUAAAGAAUCAUCUCAACCUAAUAGUUUAAGGUGUUAGGUAUAUAAGGUCUCAAGAUAUGAUUUAUAUUAUUCUCUAACACACUUCCUCAAGUGAAAGCCUUUUGGACUUAAAACUUACACAUACUCAUAUUACCUUGUACUUAAUUUUUAUCAAAUAAAUAGGGAUGGUGAGAUUCGAACUCGUAACCGUUUGGUCAUUAAAGCUCUGAUACCAUGUCAAAGAACUAUCUCAACCUAAUAGCUUAAGUUGUUAGGUAAGGUCUCAAGAUAUGAUUUAUAUUAUUCUCUAACAAUUCCUUGCAUCAAUUUGGUAAAUUUUAAAAAAAAAAUUAAUAAUUUGUCAUGGUAUUGAGAUCCAUGAUUUGAAAUCUUGAAUCCAUAAAGUUGAGAGAAGAAAUUAACGAAUCACUUUAACCACUAAACAAGUGCCUUAUAAAGAAUAUUACUAGUAAUCCAUAGUUAUUACAAGCAAGCAUGCCUUAAUUCACAAGAUGUGACUUAAUUUGUGACAGAUUACAUGUAUAUAAGUUAAUCAUUAUUUAAUUUUAAUUAGUGUCAAGCGAUUAAGUUUACUACUACAAUUAAGGAUAUCUUUGAUAAUAAAGAAAUAUGAAAUGAUUUCUUUAUACACUUAGGGAUUAUAAAUAAAUUUGAAUUUUAUUAGGGAGUAUUUGUUUUUUUUAAGAAACAGCGAAUUUGAAUACAAUAUCGUCAAAUUCAUUUUAAGUGGGAUUUAAGGUUUGGUUUGACGGUAAUAAAGAAGAAAAGAAGCAACAUUAAUGCAUCCAGGAGGACUCAUCAACCUAAUUACUGAGAAAAGGGAAAUUGUUAACAUGUCCGAAAGAUACGAGGUUACAUAUAGCUAGUGCGUUGAGGUAGAUUCCAUACAAUACAUUAAUUGAUUUCUUAAGGUUCCAUCAUGUAUAAUUAAUAUUGUCUAGAAUUUUGUUAUAACAUUUUAUUUGUUUUAUGUUUUCGUGAAAAUGGGAAUCAUUCCAUAUAUAUUAAAAUAAUCAAAGAGUACAAUUGAGGUUCACAAAAAAAAAAAAUCAACUUACAUUUCAAUAAAUAACGACUCAACAAUUUUUUUAAAAAAAUCUAAACACUUCAAAUAAACAGAAAAAAUAUAUAUCUUUAAUCUAAACUUUAUUUUCAUAUUGAUGUAUCUAUUUAUUGUUUUAACAAAAACAUUUUUUUAGUUAGAAGUAUUGUUUUUUAAAUAAAAAGUUAUCAUGAUCUUAAAAGCAAGUUUUAGUAAAAUAAUAUCUAAAUAUUUUGUACUUGAAUUAAGGUUCAAUAGGCAUUCCCAUCAAAAUAUAUAAUAUUAUUUGAGACUAUAUCAAAAUUGAAUAAUAAUUUAAAUGCCAUAAUAUUAACUAUUUGACUUAUAAUUCAUUUUAAACAAAAUCUAAAAAAAGAAAGAGAAAAAGAAAGAGGCUACGAGCCUAGGCCUAAAAAAUUGGGCUCGAGUGCCCGACCUAAAUGUAAAAAAGCCUAACAUAUGUGGACCUAGAAGGCCAUGUUCAUGCACCAGGCGCGCAUAUAUAUAUAGUGUUAUUUACCCUUUUAUUAUUAUAUUUUUAAAAAAUAAAAUAGACAAUACUUCAUUUGUAGUGGUACAUGAAGCGUUGUCGUCCAGCUCAAAAUCCGAUCAUUGGAGAGAAAUGGCUAGAAAGAUGGGUCUUGAAUUUUUUGUAACUAAAAACUCAUUUUCAAGCUAUUUUCAUUUUAAAAACACUUAAUAAACACUUUAGGAAUCAUAAUAAACAAAUUUUUAAUCUCAAAACACCUUUAAAUCAGUUAAAACACACAAAAUUAAAAUUAAAUAAGAAAAUAUUCCUUAACCCUUAAUCUAAUUCUUUCGGCUAGAUGAGAGCUUAAAAAUACCUAAAUAACACUUCUUUUGCUAAGGGGAAUUCUUUGACACCUCCAAUCAAAUUUUUUUAUAUGCGAAUGUGGCAAAUGAAUAAUUUUUUCUAUUCUCUCUCAUUUUUCGAUGACUUUCUCUUUCCUAUCCAAAUUUCAGGGAUUGAAACAUAAAAUAAAAGAAGUUUUGGAUUGAAAUGUGAAAGUCCUGAAACAUAGGAACUAAAAAUGAAAAAGUUCAAAAUUCAUAGCACCAAAGUGUACUUGUACACACCUUAUGAACAAUAAAAAAUAAAAAUAGGCCAACUAUAAAUUGUUAUUAAAUCUUAUUGAGCAAAUCCAAUUGCAAGAUCAUAUUAGUUUCCAUGAUUUCUUCACAAUAUUUUGGUAUUGAGUUACUUUUUAGUUAUUCAUAAAAAAAAAUCUUGUUUUAAUUUAAGAAAAACCUAAAUAUACAAUGAAAAGAUUGAAAUCAAAAGGAAAAUCCUAAAAAUAAGAUGAAAUGCUUGAAAUAGAUAUUAAGAUUUUAUGACUAAAUUACAUUAGAAUAUAUUUGUUUGGGAGAAUUAAAUUUCAUUAAAAGAUAUUUUCAAUUUAAAAUUAAUUCAAGUAAAUCAUUCAAAAAGUUAUUUCAAGUAAAAAAAUAAUGUAAAAAAUUAACCUUCAUUUUUAAUAUUUUUCUUAAAUUUCUUAAUAUAAGAUAAUAAAAAGAACUCUAAAAUUAAUAUACAAAAAUUGAAGAGUAAAUUAAAACUUAAAAGUCCUUAAUACUUUUAUAUAUAUAUUGAUCUCUUAGGUGCUUCGAUGAGAGUAGUGGUGGGAUAGGUGAAGGAUAUUAUAUUUAGGUAUCCUGCAUUCUCUGUUCUUGAUAUAUAAUCAAUUUUUUCAACAUUUUUAAAGUCAAAAAUAUUUUUUUUUCUAAAAGAAACAUAGUAUAUUUUCUUAAUGAAAAAUGAAAUUGUUCUCCACGUUUUUUAGAAUAGUUACAUGAUGUUUUUUACUUGAUCUUAGAAUACAAACAUUUUAUUAUAAGGAAUUAAUAUAAUGUGGCCAUUUUGAUCAUGAUUAUUAAACUAGUAAUUAUUAAUUACUGAGAGAAAAUUAAUAAUUAUAAUGUGGCCAUUCCCAUACCACUUUUGGUCAUGAUUAUUAAACUAGUAAUUAUUAAUUUUUGUAACCAGUAAAAAAAUGUGUUUCUUCGGAGAAAAGUGUCUAGCUUAAUUCGUUAUUGUAACUAGUUUGAUUUUGGGUUGAAAUACAAAAUCAUGAUCUUAUUUUUACAAGGGGUCGAGCAUACAUGGUUAUGAAAAUAAUAUUUUGCUCUACAUGUCCUACCAGUAAGUGUGGCUAUAGGGAGUAACUUUUUUACAAUAUUAUUAAACUCAUUCAAUCUUGUUGUGCUAAAAUAGCACUCAUUCAAAAAAAUAAUGAAAGGGCUAGUGUUUAGGCCAAAGAUAUGAGCUUGGCGUGCUUAGCACAAUAAAAAAAAGGGUCGGGCAUGUGUGGGCCAACAAGGUUAGGCCUGCAUGACUAGCUUUGAAUUAUUAUUUUUUGUUAAAGAGGAUAUGAUAUGUUAUCCACUUUUUUUUGUUUUCUUUUAAGCAAACAAUACAUCGUUUAUUGUGGUAAAUAACAUGUCAUUUGCUUACCUAUAUUUUAGCCAUUAAAAAUAUGGUCAAAAAAUCUAUUUGGGGUUUUUUGGAUAAAAAAUUCAUUCUUCAAACUAUUUUCAUAUUAAAACAUCUAAUAAACACUUUAAGAACCACAAUAAACUAAUUUAUCAACUCAAAACACAUGAAUCUGUUUAAAAACACAAAUUAAAUUGAAGAGCAAAACUCUAUCUGAACCUUAAUCUAUUUUUUUUUUAGCAAAACAAAAGCUAAAAAACACAUCAACGGUACUCCUCUCAUCAGCAUUUCCUUGAAAAUUAAAAAAAUACUAUUUUUUUGAAAAAAAAUGGAAAGGGCUAGUGUUGGGGCCAAAGAUAUGCCUAGCCCAACCAAAAAAAGGGUCGGCAUGUGUGGGCCAACAAAGUUAGGCCUGUUGACUAGCUUUGAAUUGUUUUUUGCUAAAAGGAAUAUGAUAUGUUGUCCACUAUUUUUUGUUUUCUUUUAAGCAAACAAUGCAUCAUUUGUUGUUGUAAAUAACAUGUCAUUUGUUUACCUAUAUUUUAGUCAUUAAAAAGAUGGUUAAAAAAUCUAUUUGGGGUUUUUUGGACAAAAAAAUCAUUCUUCAAACUAUUUUCAUAUUAAAACAUCUAAUAAACACUUUAAGAAUCACAAUAAACUAAUUUAUCAACUCAAAACACAUGAAUCUGUUUAAAAACACAAAUUAAACUAAAGAGAAAAACUCUAUCUGAACCUUAAUCUAUUUUUUCUAGCAAAACAAAAGCUAAAAAACACAUCAAUGAUACACCUCUCAUCAAAUGAACACAUUAACACUAAUUUAUCUUUUUUUAUCAUUAACAAAACCUCACCAAUAAUUUUUCUUUUCUUUUCUUCGUUGUUUUUCGAUGACUCUCUCUCCUCUUAUAACUUAGGGACUAAAAUGUAAAGAAUAUGAUAGAUUAAAACAUAAUUGUUUCAAAGUAAAAGGACGAAAAGGUAAAGUGAAAAAUAUUUCACAAGUAAAAAACUCUUAUAAAGAGCUAAAUAAUCAGAAUAAAAAAUCCUAUAUAUUUUCCACUCUAUCAAUUUUGGUUCUCUUAUUUUCAAUUCUUUACAAGCAACAAAAUCAUGAUUUUCUCUAAAAAACAAGCAUCAACCUAAUGUCAAGGUAUUUUCUUGAGGCUAUAAUAACCCAAUAUAAAAGCAAAACGAAACAAAUCAUCAAUUCUAAUUUUAAAAAAACACAAUAUUGAAUGAUAAAAUUAAAAAAAAUAAAAGUUUAAUGCCUAGAUUAUAAUAAGGAUGAAAAAAUAAGAGAAAUAUUAUUACAAUCCAUGGCGAUUUUACUCAUGCUAUAGUACACUUCACCUAAAAAUAUCUUCUUUUUUAGAUUUUUUUUUUAAUUACAUUGACUUGUGGUUCAACUCAUUAUUUAACAUGAUAAUGCCCAUUAAGGAGCUGUGUUGGGCUAACUUGUAUAUUGAUAUCUUUCCAACCAAGCCUAUUUCACUUGGCAUGCCAAGAACGAUGCUUGGUAAGAAUGAAAAUGGAAACCUAUAGGUCGGGUUUCUAUUACAUUUAUAUUUUAUCCAUUAUCUAACGGGUAAAAAAUUUAAAUAUUCAUACUUUAUUUAUCGGUUUUUGAAUAUCCAUUAUUUUAGUACCUGUUAUUUGAGUAUUAUUUAUUACUAGAUAAAAAAUAAAAUAUAUAUAUAUAUAUAUAUAUAUAUAUAUAUAUAUAUAUAUAUAUAUAUAUAUGAUAGAAAUAUGUGUGUGUAUCUUGCGUUAGGUGUUAGUUGGGUUUGAUAAUAUCUUUGCUCUAUCCAUUACUUAUCGGGUAAGGUAAAUAUAUAAAAAAAGCCACUUAUUCAGAUUGAUUUAGAUCGGUAUCAUAUUUAGAUAAAAUUAUAAUCCCUAAACUUAGAUAUGACGAUAUCGUAGGGAUGGUUUAUACACGUGCAUGCACGUACAUUUAUCCUUGAUAUAGAAUAGUCAUGCCACUCAUGCAUGCCCAACAAUUACUCAAUUUAGGUCAAGUAAAAGACUUCGGAUGUGUAUGAUUUUGCGAUUCAACCUACAUUAUAAAUUACUUUUUCAAUCGUUUUUUGUCUAGAAAAGACUUAAAUUAAUAAUUUUUAUGUGUUUUUUUUUAUGAUUUUAAUGUCUGAUAUUAAAAAUAAAAAAUUUUAAAAAAAUAUUUUCAUUUUAAAAAGCACUUUUGCAAAACACAUCCUGCACUGUAUUACAAAACACAUCUUUAAUUGGAUUUCAACUCAACACCAUUCAAUUUAGGGUUCAUUUCUAUAAUUCUUUUUGUUCAUUAAAAUUUCCAUAUUUUCUGUGUUAUUGUUAUUCUAUUAGGUUGCACAUGCAUCAAUUGCAUUCUUAAAACUAUUUUUAAAAAUUUUAAAAUUGAUAUAUAUGAAAAAAAAAAUUGUUUGUCUUCAUCUCCAUCCUCUGUGUCCUUAUUUUUACAUGGACAGGAAAAUUAGUUUAAAAUUAUCUUUAAGAUAUACAAAAUUAAAUAUUUUAAAUUAUUUUAUCUCUAUAAUUAAACGGUUUUUUUAUCAUCAAUUUUGUUAUUUAUUUUUUCAAAAUAGUAACUAAGCGCGAUGAAAAGGGACUCAUUUAUUCACAUGAUAAACCAUAAAUUAAUGAAUGAACUAAACUAGUUAUGGUUUUUACGAAUCAAACAGAAGCACUUCCCACAAACAUUUAAUUAAACAUGCGUCAGCAUUGUCAAAAUUGGAUACUGCUUUCUUAGUCCACCACCUAAGCCAAUCACAGCUUGUCACUGUCAAUUCUCAACUUUGAUUUGGCCACUCUCUUUUCAUCUCUCUUCUCUCCAUCUUCUAACAUAUUAUUAAGGGAACAAACUUUUCUUUAGCGGCAAAGCCCACAAACAAACAACCUAUCCACCAAUCGCAACUCAACACCUAUGACCUCACUCUCUUUCUUCUCUUGCUCAUUUCUCUUUCCCGUAGAUCCCUCUCUUGCAAGAAGCAGUAGUGAGAAAGAGCUGGCAUAUAUUUGUUCUCCAAGGCACUACUACUUUGUUGUUGUUUUCUUUCCCUUUUAGUUCACAGUGAAAAGAUUAAAAAAAAAAAGAAGCUAGCAAAGCACCAGUUUUUUUAACUCAGUUGGGUCUUUUUGCUUUUGCCGCUGUCUUUUGGUAUCUUUUUAGGCGAAGUCUUAAUCCCAUAUUUUUUGGGGUUAGUUUGAACUUCAAAGUUCCAAAAUUCACGGUAGAGUAUUGUUUUCUAUUUUGAAAUUUAAAAAGUUUUUUUUUUAAAAAAAAUUGUUAUGAUUUAGUACUUGGGUUAUUAUUGGAAUAAAAAUUAAGAUCUGCUUAUUUGUUGUUAUUGUUUCAAGAAUUUUCCUUGAGUUUUGGAAAGUUGCAAACUUUUCAAGAUUCCUCAAUUUGUUAAAAAAAAAAAGUUUUCUCAAGAUUCUAAUCGAAUGGCUAUUUGGUCAUAAAAUUCUCCACUUCUCUGCAUUUCCCAUUUGGUGAUUCUCUCUCUUUGAAUUCAAAGGGAGAGAAAAAAAAUUAAAGUGAGUAUCUUGUGUGUUUAUAAAUCAUCUUUGGCAUGCAAGUUAUUUGCUUUGAUUGUAUAGUGUGAUUACCUACAACUAUGAAUCGGGGUAUUGGAAUUCUGUAUCCGGCCUCGUAUUUGCAGAAUUCAAACUGGUUGUUUCAAGAAGGCGAGGGAACAAAAUGGACCCCUGAGGAGAACAAACAGUUUGAGAAUGCUUUGGCUUUGUAUGACAAGGAUACGCCUGAUCGAUGGCUGAAGGUGGCAGCCUUGAUUCCAGGCAAGACUGUGGAUGAUGUCAUCAAACAGUAUAGGGAAUUGGAGGAAGAUGUUUGUGAUAUAGAAGCAGGACUGAUCCCGAUUCCUGGAUAUAACAGUGAUUCUUUCACUUUAGAGUGGGUAAGUAAUCAAGGGUAUGAUGGAUUGAAACAAUUUUAUAGUCCUGGAGGCAAGAGGGGCACGGCGACUCGGCCUUCCGAGCAGGAAAGGAAGAAAGGAGUGCCAUGGACUGAGGAGGAGCACAGGUAAGUUACAUUUCUUUGGCUGUAAAGCUAAUGUGUCUUGAUUAUAAUUUCGCAAUAGUGAUAGUUAACGAAAACUGGUUGUGUGUUAAAGUUUUUGGAGGCGAGUUAAUUUUCACUUCCCUUGUUCUUUUUCUAUGUUGUUUUUGCUUGAAUUGAGUUGUAGUAGAAUUUGCUGUCUUGCUGAGGUAAUUGAGAUGAGAUCAAUGACCAACUUGGCAUUUAGCUUAUGAUAGACCUAAGUGUAUUGUUCUUUAUAAAUCUUUUAUAAUGGAAUUCAACAAUUUGAAUUUGUCAAUGCGCAGUCGAAUUAGUUUAAAACUUGCUUUUCAAAGAAUGUCUCUUUCAUUCAACUAUGUGUGUAGUUUUCAUAUUUUGGUGUCUUAUGUUGGAGAUACUUGACAUAAACUGCAGGCAGUUUCUUUUGGGUCUUCAAAAGUAUGGUAAAGGGGAUUGGAGAAAUAUCUCCCGCAAUUAUGUGACUACUAGGACGCCGACUCAGGUGGCUAGCCAUGCUCAAAAGUAUUUUAUUAGGCAAAGUACUGGAGGGAAGGAUAAGAGAAGAUCUAGUAUCCAUGAUAUCACUACUGUCAAUCUUCCAGAUGCCAAAUCUCCAUCACCAGAAAACAAAAGGCUAUCAUCUCCAGAUCAUUCAACCACAACCAUGCAAUCUCAGGCACAACCAAAAACGGCUGGCACGGUUAAAGGUUUAUUUGACUGGAAACAACAAAAUGAAGGAAUAGCCACAGUUUAUAAUCCAGCAAAUGACAAUUUGUUGACGACACCUUUUUGUGGGAUAUCCUCACAUGGAUCCAAGCUGCAGGAGCAAAAUCUGCUUGGAGGAACACUUCCAGGAUAUCAGUUUGGUCCUUACAAUUUCAUUUUUCAGAUGCAAUCAAUGCAGCAUCAAUAAGGUCAUAGAUGAAGUGGAGCAUUUAGGGUUCUGAAGGUAUUGAUAUUCUAUAUGCUAUUCAGUAUGUUGGAUAACUUUGUCAAUUCUCUAUCAUGUAUUAUUGUGAAUAUGUCAUUGGGGGCUCAAGUUAGUCCAUAUUUAUUAGACUCUUGCAGAACGAUCACGUAGCAUAUGCUGUGAUUUUGCAUUCAAAUCUGAAUCAUUGAACCAAAAGGAAGCUUAUUUAUGUGAUGCUUGACUUUUGAUUACAUGUGAAUGUCCUAGCUGUGUUUGGAAUUCAAUUAUAGUUGCAAUGUUUAGAAUUUCAGUUAUGGUCGCAAGGCAUUUUCUGUUUGGACUUGUUUGUGUUUUGAAUAUUGGAAUUGGUACAAGAAUCUAUCCAAGUUGUCCUAGACCAUGAAAGGUUCAUGACUAGAUGGGGUACUCUCCAAUUAUUGAGUUGCUGGCCUGAAAAGUACUUGAUGCAGCUUCCUAGUUCACAUGGUGGAUGAAAUACAAUCAGAACGAUGAAAGAAUGGGAUUGAAAAACUCCUGCUCAAGAAAAGAAUUCCUGAUGUGUUUGAGGUCUUCAGAUUAUGACCUGUAAGAUUGUUUAGUGCUGCUGUCGUAUUCCUUUGAUCAGAGAAAGCAGCAGUUGUAAAAAUGUACCCUGUCAAAUUCUCAGUCCAAAUUUGCUUUGGUCACAAUUCAGAAUUUUUUUUUAACCCCUUGAAAUGACGUUCUUUGAUCUCCUUUUUUCUUGAUUCCUUUAUGCAUAUGGUUUAUCUAUCCCAUUGGAUGAACGAAUUUGACAAAGGAAUCUUGACUGAAGCUUGAGAGCAAGAGCCACUAGUUCAAGCAUCUAAUGCUGCCUUCUCUUUGUUCUGUUCAUGAGGAUGACAUUGUUCUUUUUUUCACUUUGUUUUCUGAUUUAAGAUGGCAAAGUUAAGUGGGGGAAGAUCCUAUAAGAUGUUUCAGUGACUAAAUCAAUCCAUUACUUAAUGCAACUUUGCCAUUGAAUUUCGCUUUGUUUUCUUGUUGAGAUUUCUUUCAAAAGCUAAUGACAAAGUGGCAAAGACCAGCGCAUUUCUGCAGAUCCCUUAAGCUAGUCAUCAGUAGAAUCAUUAAUCAUGGGGUGGUUCUCUGAUUCUUAAAUGUGAACUUUAACGAGACUGUGCUCAUUAAAAGAGAGAAUCUAACUAAGCACUAUGUCGGCUUUUCAACCAUUAAUUUAAUCAAGUUAAGACUAAAUCUUUUCCAUGCUCAUAAAAAGCUCCUCAAGAUUCUCCUCUUUGGGUCGGCGGUAAGACUUGGCUACCAUUUUUUUAUUUGGAUGUAGCCGUUAGCAAGGAGGAACUGACUGUAGCUCCUUGAGUGUUUGUGGGGGAGUCUAUGAAUUACACGGAGGAAAAGGCAAUAAUUUAGCGAUUCCUAAAGUAUAUCUUCAUGAAUAUCAAACUUGUCACCCCGUCAUAAUAUUCCAAUCCAGAUAACUUUAAGAGAAGCAUACCCCCCCCCCCCCUCAUUAACGAUUUUGCUAGCCAUUCAAUUGGCUUUCCACCAUCUCCAUCCACUGAAUUUGACAUAUUUUCGUAUUGCUUUAUUAAAGAAAAAAAAAAACUAAGAAAAAUCUUAAAAAUGUCAGUCUACAAGCCAGUAACCACCACAAAGUGACAGCAUGGGGAAAGGCUUUCUCAGUGACAGAUGAACUUGCUACCCCUUCCUGUUCUGUUUGUCUCCUUUCUGUUGUUGUUGCUGCUGCUGAUAAUCGAUGGCACUAAAUUUGAUGUUGUUUAUGCAAACUUUCAUUAAAAGCAAGCCUACUAGUGCCCCAUCAUAUACUGCUUUGCAACUAUUAUUCAUGGUCCGCCACCAGGCCAACAAUUCAAGGCAACAUGAGCAAUAUAAAAAGUAUCUGACACUUUUUCCCAGCUUCAUGACAAAACUGCCCUACUUUUUUCAAAAGGAGAAGCUUUUAUGCAAGUUGCACGAUGCAUAGAGGAGCACUUUCGAUAUUUUCUUUUCCCAUUUUCUAAUCAAACCCAUGGUUUAAUUUCGAACAACUCACCCUAAUCUCUCACACUAUAAUAUUCAACCAGAUAUUUGACCCUGAUUAUAUCCUGACAUGUGAUGAAAAAAAAGAAGAUAUCUAGUAUUUUAUUUUUAGAGGAAAAAAAAUUCUGAUUUAAGAGGUUCCAUCUAAUUUAAUAUUAUAGUCAUUAGAAAUUUUAACUGAUCAAUAAAAAUUAUAUGGUACUAGACUAAUUACAUAGAAGAGAAGAUACUAUCACCCCUUAAAUGUUUUACUUGAGAUAUAUUGCAUUGUUGUGUUUUGCUUUAAAUUGCUAAUAAUUUAUUGUAUUAUACUAUUGAUGGUCUGUCUAUAAUAUUCUUGACUCUGAUGCCAGUGAAUAUUUAACCCUGGCGUUGGUAAAUAUUACUUAAAAGAGUGAUAUUUCUGACUUUUUCGUCAGUGAACAUUGGGGUUCACGAUGAUUUUUAAUUCUAGUGUUUCGAUUCUUAAUUCUUACAUUAGUAAACAUCAAGAGUAUUUCUAAUUCUGACAUUAGUGAAUACAAAUAUUUCUGACUUUGACUCUAGUAAAUAAACAAUUAAAAUUUUGAAUUGAAAGCAAAACAUAUUUUUAUAUUUUUACAAUGAUGGAGCCUUCCUUUUUUUUUUAGAGAAAAGAAAAGGAAAUAGAAAAGACAGGUAUAUAUUUUAUAAUAUAUUCACAUUUCACGAUAUAAGUAUAUAAUUCAAUAUCAAGUGAAGUCAUAAAAAAAAUGUGAGGAGUCCAUAAAUAAAUUCAGAAAGGUACUGAAUUGUUUCAGAAUUUUUUAAUAUUUUAAAAGGCCUGUUUUACUGGAUAUUAAAAUAAAAUAAAAAGUAAAAAUAUAAAAGUAUGUUUGCUAACAUACCCUUAACUCAAGAAAAUAAACUGGUUAGGGCUGAGGCUCAAGCCCAGCUCGGUCUUAACAGUAUUUUUACUCAACUGGGUCACUGGCCAGCCCAAUAACCAAGCUGACAACCAUUUGCAUGCGUGAAUUAUUCACCCGACGCUUGCUACAGGGGAGAGUAAUUAAAAUUCAAAGAUGGGGGAGAAGAGCAGCUUAACUGGUGUAGCUUCUGCUGGAGACGAAGAUGUGAGGAGAUGAUGCACUGGUUGGACAAUGCUCCUUUCUUCCACUCUUUUUCUUUUUUUUUUUGUUUCCUCUGUUUUUUUUCAUGGUUUGUGUCGUGUUGGUUGGAUCAAUAGUCUGUUGUGAGGGAGAGCAAAAAAUCUUUUGCUAGAGUUCUGAAGGAAAAGCCAAAAUUCCAUCUGGUUUUUGUGUUCUUUCUCCAUAAUUCUCUCUGUGUUUUCUCUCCUCUCCCUUGCUUUCUGGAUCCUCUUCUUUUUAAAGGGACAAACCUUGAGAGAAACUCGAUCUUUAUCCUCCUGGGAUCGUCAUCUUUCUGCAGAUAAUUACUGUUUUAUCUUUUCUCCGAGUUUGGUGGGAUAAGAACACCAACAGUCAUGCCAUUGUUGGAUUGCUGGUGAUGGGUUUCCUUAGCGUUAAUGGCGCAUCGUGGGGGCGAUGGAAGCUGGGAAAAAAAUGGGAUUUGUGGUAGACAAUCUAGUCUACAAUGUGGCUUGGAUUUGGUUGUGUUUGAUGGAUCUAACAGAGACCCUUUUUUUUUUUGUUCAGACAGCUUCCUCUGUUCCAGAGGAGGAAGAGGAUGAACAGUCCUCCUUGGAAUGACGCCGUUUCUUCGGCUUAAAUGUCCAUUUUCAAUUUGCCCCCUAAAGAUCUGAUGUUUUGCAAUCAAGUUCUUGCUUUAUGAAAAUCUUUUUUUUUUUAAUUUCACCCCGGAAACAAUGCAAUUGUACCCCUGGAUUUCUGUUUCAUUUACAAAAUAGUUCUUGGUUUCAAAUUUAAUCAAUUCAGUCCUUAAUUGACUCUUAAACGUUUAAUUCUUUCAAAAUUACCCCUAAAAAAAUCAAUUAAUCCCCCUAUAGUAUCAGCCUAUUCACUUUGGUUCCUGAAAUUUAAUUUCUUGCAUUGUUUUAUCUAAAUUGACCAUGAACUUUGAUCUUUCUUCAAUUAAGCCCUGAUUGCAUUAAUUAAACUAAUUCAAAGUUUAAUUAAGUCCCUAAACUUAUCAAUUCUUUAAUUUUUUUUGUCAAAUUGACUUCCAAAUUUAUAAUUCCAUCUUUAUUAGUCCUCAAACUUUCAAUUUGUGUUGUCUUGACCAAAUUCUCAAAUUAUUUUUCAUUCAUUUUUUUAUUAAUAUAUUUUUAUUUUUUUAUUUUUUUGGAAAUUUAAAAUUGGGUUAUGGCACCGAUAAUUAUUUUUUCAAUAAAAAAUACAUGUUUUUCCAACAUGUUUUUGCAUAUAAAUUGUUUUUUCAAUCAUAAAUCAAAAUGUCUAUACAUGCAUCUAAUUAAAUAAACCGAUAUUUAAUCAAGAUAUAAAAAAGGUUAAGAUAUUUGAUUUUAUAACACAGACUAUGUACUCAGUUGUGUUUAAUAAAUUUGUUUCUCAGAAUAAAUUUUAUAUUUAAUGAAACAAUUAUUUGUGCCAAUAAAAGGUAAAAAAAAUAAAAUCGUUAACAAAAACAAAUUGAAUAAAACUAUAAAACCUAAUUAUCAAAUAACUCAAUGUUUAAUGAAAACACUGAAAAAAAAAUGAAAAAAAGAUAUGGGUUAACUAACUAACCCCGGGAGUAUUGGCAUAAGAUUGGAAUAACUCCAAAGAAAGGAAAGUAAAAAAAAAAAACACAAAGAUCAAUUAUCAAAUAAUUAAAUAUUAAAGAAUGAAAUUGAAAAAAAUCAAUUUUACAAAAAAACUUUUAAAAAAAUCAAAUUCAAUCUAUGUUAACCUUUGAAACUCAUGAACAUGAUCAUGGGUCUAAGAUUAACUGUAUAGAAGGUAAAUUGUAAAAGAAAAGAAGCAAAAAUCUCUAUAAAAAAAUACCGAGUAAUGAAACUAAAAAAUUAAUUUUUUUAAAAAAAGCAAUGAAAAAAAAUAAUUCGAGUAAAUUCAUAUUAACUUGUUAACCCCACGACGACUAUGAGCAUAAAAUUAGAAUAACCUCAUAAAAAAAUAAAAAAAUAAAAAAAUAUAAAGAUUAAUUUAAAAAAUUUAAAUGUUGAUAUAAGAAAAUACAACUAAAAAAAAUAAAAGCAUCUAUUGAAGGUUGCUGUUCCAAGAACUACAAGUCAAGCUACAGGUUUGCCAAAACAGUUUGGUGAGAGGCUACAAGAUGUGGCUGAUUUAAAGGCCAAAGGAAUUUUUGAAGUGGUUGCUGAGAAGGUUCUUGCGGCUGUAGGAGCUCUAACCAUAGUUUUAAAACCCGAUCCGGUCAUCGACCCGGUCAAGUGAUCGGGUCACGGGUCAGAUGGGUUGACCCGGGUCAACCCAAAAAAAAAACAGCUUUUUUGUUCUUGAUGCCUAAUAACAAGAAUAAUUGGCGGUUCCAAAUUUGCAAUAGUCACUGGCUAUCCUUCCUGUCUUGUGAAACACAGUUUUCUCAACCAAUCAAUGAACGAUUAUUAUAAAAUUUCUACGCGCCAUUAUCCCAGUUGCUACAAGAUCUGACAAUAUAUUAACUUAUCAUCAAGAAGCUGGGAAGAAUAUAUAUAUAUAUAUAUAUAUAUAUAUAUAUAUAUAUAUAUAUAUAUAUAUAUAUAUAUAUCAGCUAGUAAUUGACAUUGGAGAUGCGCAUCGACCCUCUUAUUUUUAUUGAGUUAUACUACUUCCACAAGCCAGCCUAUUGACUUCAAAGAUUUGCUAAUUUUUUAUUUAAUAUCAAAUAUAUUUUUUAAAAAUACUUUAACUUUAAAAAACGUAUUGUAAACAUACAACAUCANNNNNNNNNNNNNNNNNNNNNNNNNNNNNNNNNNNNNNNNNNNNNNNNNNNNNNNNNNNNNNNNNNNNNNNNNNNNNNNNNNNNNNNNNNNNNNNNNNNNAAUUGAAAUUCAUCCUGGAAAUUAUAAAUGAUCCUUACUACGAAAAAUAAAAUAAAAUUAAUACACACAAAAUUUGUUGUUAAGAGGAAAAAUUACAAUAUAUAUAUCAUCCGCUACCUCUCAAAAUGGAUGAAGAUUCCUUCCCACCCCAUUAACAUUAGACAGAAACCCCACCAAAUCCACAGGAGCGGCAUUUAUCACCUUCUUUACUCCUCAUGUAAUAAUGUUCUUGAAAUUGAAACAAACCUCCUCCAGCUCCUUUCGCUUCUUUCCUUUUCUCUGUGCCCUGUUUAUUAUGGUUCCCAUCUUGGUCAUCGCUGCCCAAUCGCUGAUGAUGGAAGCCAUUCUUCUUGUUAUUAGGCAUCAAGAACACAAAAGUAUCCUUACCAUCACUAUUACUCCGGUGAAUAAAAUCUUUGAACUUCCAUCUCUUUGAAUUAGACCCUGUAUAGCUGCUCUUCUUGCAGCUCCCUGGAGACCCCUCCUCCUUCUUUGGCGUCCACACACAGUAAGAUCUAAGCUCUAGGUUGUCAAUAUCAUCAGCUUCCGAUGAAGAACACGAAAAGGUUUCACGGUCCUCAUAGAAGAGCUUCCUGAGGGGUAAUCUAUUUGGUUUCUUGGCAUCUUGGGUACUAUUGGUUGCAGUUUUCGAUCUGGGUAGGGAUUCUUGGUUGUCUAAGAGUAACAAUUGUUUCUGUUAUGCUGCGUUCAAUUACCUCCUCCCUGAAUCUUUAAUUUUAUCCAUCAAAGCCAUCUCUCCUCGUCUCUCUCUCAAGCCAUCCCUCCUCGUCUCUCUCGCGCUAUAGUUAAUUGACCGGGUCUCACCCGGGUUUGACCGGGUGGACCGGGUCCCGGGUCGACCCUCCGGGUCGAUCGGGUUUCGCCGGGCCAAUUCCCAAGCGGGUUUUUACCUUCACCCGGACCGGUCCCAGGCCCGGGUCGGCCGGGUCCCGGGUCGACCCGCCGGGCCGGUCCGGGUUUUAAAACACUGGCUCUAACUCUAAGGCCUAAUGUGCCAACAAUGAGUUUGGAGUAAGCAUUUAAUAAGAUGUGGACCUGCCUCAGAGAAGAAAAACAGGUAGGAAUAGCGAAGGUGAAUUGGAGUUUCUCUUCAAAAUAAACUUAAAUAAACACAAACCCACAUCAAAAUGGUUUCUCUCCCUCGCUGCUUCAAUUUCGGGUUUGGGACAAAAAGAAAGUCCUUCCUCCGAUUCUACUGAAAAUUCUCAUCAAAGUCAGAAUUAUUAACUUAAAAAUGAUAGAUGACAAGUAUUGAUUGGUUGAGUUUUUAGUUAAACUUGAUUUAUUAUGGACCAAUAAAUAUUAGGAAAUCGGUAAGAACACUGAAAGAGUGAUGAACUUUGUCCCAGAAUCCAAACAUCGAGGACCCAAUCAGUAGAGUUAAAUGUGAUUGAAUAAUUAAAUUACAGGUAUCCGUAAGCCCAAAAAAAGAAUGUCAACUUUCAAUUCAACAACCGGUUGAUAAUUCCAUAAAGACUUGGCUAUGAAGCAGUUCGAGUGUGCAGUUUUAAAUUAGUUUUUUUUUAAAAUCAAUUAACAUAAAUCCAAUAAUAAAAUAAACUUAUAAACAAUGUCUAAUGGGAUAGAACAAAUCUAAAUUAAAAAUAAAUAUUCAUAAAUAAAUAAAUAAAAUAGAAUAAUAAAAAUAAAAUUUUCAUGCUAAAGUUCCUCUAUAUAACCCGAAUCUCUAAUUUUUAUAUAUUCUUGGCAGAUUUCAUCCCUAACUUCAAACAUGUUGGUUACUGGGCCUACCAUAUAUGGUUGGAAAAUGAGUGAUGUCUAGUUUUUAUCCCAACUUAGAUCGCAAUAAAAUUACACUUGUAGCUCAAGAUAAGUCUCAUACAGUACACAAAGAUCUAGUUUGAUAAAUUUGACAAGAUUCAUUUUGUAACUUUGACCAACUGAAAUAAUAUGUUUCCAAACUCUAUUUGAUUUGAACAUUUACCACAAUAUAUUUCUAUGUGUCUAGUAUCUCCAUGUACUAUUUCAACUCAAUCCGAUGUACGGUUUGAGAGAUAUACCUGAUCUCACAAAAUUAUUCAGCAGACAUUUUAAGGCCAAAUUCAGACCUGACUUUGUUCAUAUCACAAAUUAAAAGCUUUCUCUUGUUGAAUUUCCCAUUUAAAACCUAUUACCUUCUUUACAAUUUUAGUUAAUAAAGCAUCUAUUGUACUAAAUUUUUUUAAAAUUUUCUAUAGAAACUAGCCAAUCUAUGAAAACUUCUUACCCCACUUACAAUCUUAGGUGUAGGCCACUUUUUUAUAGCCUUAAGCUUAACUUCAUUCAUCUCAAUACUUUUUACACUAAUAAUAUAUCCAAGAAAAACAAUAUUUUUCAUACAAAAGUCACAAUUAUUUAGAUUAUCAUACAAACUUUCAUUUCCAAGCACAUUAAGUACCCGUCUUAAAUGAUCUAUACACUCAUUUAAUUCUUUAUUGUAAAUCAAUACAUCAUCAUAAUAAACAACUGCAAACCUACCAAUAAAUGCACGUAAUAUAUGGUUCAUCAAUCUCAUAAAAUUACUAGGCAUAUUAGUAAGUUCAAAAGACAUGACGAACCACUCAUACAAACUAUAUUUAGUUUUAAAAGAAGUUUUUCAUUUUUUAUCUUCUUUCAUUCUAAUAUGAUGAUAUCCACUUUUAAGAUAAAUUUUGGAAAACAAACAAGAUCAAUGUAAUUCAUUUAAGCAUAUCAUCUAAUCUAGGUAUAAGAUGUCUAUACUUUACUAUUAUGUUAUUAAUUGCUCUACAAUCAAUACACAUUUUCCAAGUACCAUAUUUCUUAGGUAUUAAAAGUACAGUAACAACACGUGGAUUCAUGUUCUCUUGAAUGUACCCCUUUAACAUUAAUUCAUUCACUUCCUUUUAAAACAUCUUUAUUUCCUCAUGAUUACUUCUAUAGGCUGCUAUAUUAGAAAUAGCCAAACUUGGUACCAGGUCAAUUUGAUGUUCUAUUUCUCUUAUAAGUGGCAAUCCACUUGGAAUUUCAUCGAGAAAUACAUCUUUAAAUUUUUGUAAUAAAGUAACAUAAAUACUAAAAACACAUGAAUCAAGUUCAUUAGUGUUAAAAUAUACCUUUUUAUAUAAGAGUAAAAUCAUAGGCAUAUCAUAAAAAUAGCAUGUAUAAAAUCAUUUUGUUUUGCAUAAAAAUUAAGGUGUUUCUCAACUCUAAGUGAGUUGGUGGGGACACUAUACCCAAGACUUGACCACACAUGUGUUUGAUCAUAAAUGAUAGAGAGUAACCUAAUUACCUGUUGUUAACCUAUAUUAUUGGGUUAAAUUUAUUUGGACUUUUAUUUGAGUUUUAUUAUUAGGUUUGAAGUUAUUUUAUUUUGGAUAUUAGUUUAUUUUUAAUAGGUAUUUGGCCUAAUUAUUGGUUGUUAUUUACUAUUUAUACCUAAUUUUUGACAUUUUAGUAAGUUUAUGAUGAAUUGAAUAAAAGUUGUAGAGUUGCAAAUUUUCCCUCCCUUUCUCUUCAUGUCUUCAGCUAUUUUCUAUUUUUUUUUGGCUUUUUCUUAGAUUUUUUUCUUUCUCUUUAAAUCUUUUGUCUUGCAUCAAAACUGAUGCUGAGAAUUUGUCAAAAUAUAAGGUUCACAUUCUUUUAGGAAGGAAUAAGAAAAAAAUGUUUACAGUAAAAGAUACCUUAAAAUAUAAAAAUCUUACAUAACAGUAAUUUAUUAAAAAUAUUUUUUUUCUAAAGUAGAUUGAUAAAAAAUAAUUUUUAUUAAUUAAUACAAAACUCAAAUUCAAAGAAUUCGUUUUUUCAAGUCAUAUGAGGCUUUAACAUUUAACUUUUUCUAUACUGUUCAUAAUAUUGUGUUCUUUUCUUAUAAUUAUUGAUAAUACAAUUAGUUCAUUAAUUUUUUUUUUUGAGAAAAUAGUUUAGUUACCUUAAUACAAUAGUUUUUAAAGGCUAUUUAGAUUAGUUUUAAUAACUUGAACAACACACACGUGAAAAUAAACACUAGUAUAAUUAAGGGUAAAAUAUGCCAGGACCCCUUGGAUUAUUGAUCAGAAUGUAAAUAGUCCCUAUCCAAUUUAUUUAAUGCAAAUAGUCUUUGAGAAAAAAAUAACAUUAAAAACUAGUCCUUCUAUUAUAUUAGGUUAGGCUUCCAUCCAAAUUAAGAUUAGUAUCUGUCAUGUUACUAGCACGGGACACUAAAUGACCCUAAACAUACGUGAUUUUCACAUGAAUUUUUGUGUCUUGAAUUUUUUUUUUUAAAAAAACUAAAUAGUAUUGCUAUAUAAUAUCUUUAUAAAAUAAUAGAGAUUUAGAUGUCGUUUGAUAUUAUGGCUGCGAAUAAGAUUCACCCACAAUCACAAAUAUUGUUGUUUGGUAUUACAACAAAAACAGUUUUUUUAAAUCAAUCUCAACUAAAAGUACAUUUUAUAAAAUAAUUUUUUUCAAAUCACAAUCUCAAUAGCUAUCACAAUACCGCAAUACCAAAAACACUAUUUUUUCUUCUAAACAAAAUAGUCUCUCUAGAGCAAAGAACAAAGCAAUAACAUGGUACGAUCCUCGUCAUCAAUUUCAAUACCAAUAGACUAAAAAUUAACUAUAAUAAUAGAAUUAAACUCAUCAUGAUAUGGGAUUUCAUUGAUGUACUUUUUUCCAUGCAUAACAUAUACAGAC
rnacentral:lncRNA from 1 species